UGCCAGCCGCCGCGGUAAUACGGAGGGUGCAAGCGUUGUUCGGAAUUAUUGGGCGUAAAGCGCGUGUAGGCGGUUCGUUAAGUCUGAUGUGAAAGCCCGGGGCUCAACCCCGGAAGUGCAUUGGAAACUGGCGAACUUGAGUACGGGAGAGGAAAGUGGAAUUCCGAGUGUAGGGGUGAAAUCCGUAGAUAUUCGGAGGAACACCAGUGGCGAAGGCGGUACUCUGGCAUUGGCCUGACGCUCAUGUGCGAAAGCGUGGGGAGCGAACGGGAUUAGAUA
rnacentral:rRNA from 1 species